rnacentral:rRNA from 1 species
UACGUAGGGUGCGAGCGUUGUCCGGAAUUAUUGGGCGUAAAGAGCUCGUAGGCGGUGUGUCGCGUCGGCCGUGAAAACCUGGGGCUCAACUCUGGGCGUGCGGUCGAUACGGGCAUCACUAGAGUUCGGCAGGGGAGACUGGAAUUCCUGGUGUAGCGGUGAAAUGCGCAGAUAUCAGGAGGAACACCGGUGGCGAAGGCGGGUCUCUGGGCCGAUACUGACGCUGAGGCGCGAAAGCGUGGGGAGCAAACAGG